UUGGGGCACGUGGCGCGGCUAAUACAUGCAGUCGAGCGAACUGAUUAGAAGCUUGCUUCUAUGACGUUAGCGGCGGACGGGUGAGUAACACGUGGGCAACCUGCCUGUAAGACUGGGAUAACUUCGGGAAACCGAAGCUAAUACCGGAUAGGAUCUUCUCCUUCAUGGGAGAUGAUUGAAAGAUGGUUUCGGCUAUCACUUACAGAUGGGCCCGCGGUGCAUUAGCUAGUUGGUGAGGUAACGGCUCACCAAGGCAACGAUGCAUAGCCGACCUGAGAGGGUGAUCGGCCACACUGGGACUGAGACACGGCCCAGACUCCUACGGGAGGCAGCAGUAGGGAAUCUUCCGCAAUGGACGAAAGUCUGACGGAGCAACGCCGCGUGAGUGAUGAAGGCUUUCGGGUCGUAAAACUCUGUUGUUAGGGAAGAACAAGUACAAGAGUAACUGCUCGUACCUUGACGGUACCUAACCAGAAAGCCACGGCUAACUACGUGCCAGCAGCCGCGGUA
rnacentral:rRNA from 2 species